rnacentral:lncRNA from 1 species
AAAAACUUUCAUUAUCAAAAUAAUUAAAUUUAUUAUUAAGUGACACAGCGCUAAUUUAAAAUUAAAAAAAUAAAACUUUAAAAAUGAAAAAAAGGGGUUAAAAGUUAAAAAAUAAUAAUAAUAAGAAAAGAAAAGGAGUUUUAUGUUUUUCGAAGGCUUCAUAGUGCCUUAAGCCCUUAACUCUCUCUCCCUCUCCCUUUUUUUUCACUUCCCGUC